CAACAUUCUGGAGAAACGAUUAGCAAGUAUUUCAGCAAAGUGUUGAAAGCAAUUAUCAAACUUUCAAAAGAGAUAAUCAAACCACCGUCCUUUGAUGUCAUCCCUCAAGAAAUUCUUAUGGAUCCUAGGCAUAAACGCUACUUCAAGGACUGCGUAGGUGCUCUGGAUGGCACCCAUAUAAAUGCUAUUGUCCCGGUGUCUGAGCAGGUUCGAUUUCGAGGCAGGAGAGGGAAUACCACACAGAACGUGUUGUGUGUUUGCUCAUUUGAUAUGAAAUUUACUUACGUGUAUGCUGGAUGGGAAGGAUCUGCCAAUGAUUGUUGAGUGCUUUCGGUAGCACUCGAAACUCCUCAAUUGCAAUUUCCCCGACCACCGCCCGGGAAAUACUACGUGGCAGAUUCCGGUUAUGCAGCACUUCCGGGAUUUUUAACUCCUUUUAGAAGGGAACGGUAUCAUCUCAGCGAAUAUAGAGGGAGUGGGAGACGGCCAAGAACAGCAAAAGAGUUAUUCAACUAUAAGCACUCUUCACUAAGAAAUGUAAUUGAGAGGUCAUUUGGGGCAUUAAAGAAUCGAUUCACCAUUUUGAGACAUAUGCCUCCAUUUACAAUUCGGAAGCAAGCACUUGUUGUAAUUGCAUGUUGUGCUCUUCAUAAUUACAUUCGUGAUCAAGAUAGGAUGGACAGAAAUUUUUCCAUGUAUGGAGAUCCGGAAUAUCCAUUUGGACCUACAGGAGGGGAAGUUGCAGAU